UGGGGAAUGAGUGUAGGAUGAGAGAUGGAAGAGGGAAUGUUAUUGUUGUUGGGAAUGCUGGUGGAUAUGGAAGAGGGAAUCGGGGAAGAGGCAAUUUGCAAGGGAUGAGACUUGGAAGAGGGAAUGAUCAUAACAUUGUUGUUAGGAAUGCUGGUGGUUAUGGAAGAGGCAAUAUGCAAGGGAUGGGAAAUAGAGGGCUAGCUGAUCCAAUGUGGAAUAGGGGACCUAGUGCAGUGGGUGGAAGACGUAUGAUCGGGAAUGGCGGAAAUGGAUUUGGGCAAGGCAUUGGUGGGGCCCCUCCUUUGGUGCAUCCUCUCUCAAUCGGAUUUGGUUUGGAGUUCGGUGCACCUAAUUAGGGGAGGAUGGGCAGUUAUGGGAGCUUUCUUGGUGCUCCAUCGCCUCCAUUUUCAGGAGAAUCCAGCUCAAGCAAUUGGAUGUGAAAAGGUCUGGGGUGCAUCUGGUGUUACCACAUGUGGAAGAAGGGGAAGAUAUCAAUCCAAGUACAAAUGAAUCCAGUAGCUUUAAUUUUUUGGAUUCGGAUGAAUUCCCUCAAGGUUUUGUCAGAUCACAUCCUUUUACUCCUUUGGAUUCGGAUGAAUUCCCUCAAGUUCCUGUUGCAAGUAAUGAAGAUGAAUGACAACCAGCGGAAUUCAAAUUCUUACGAAAGUGAAACACCCAUAUCUUGUACCUUCAUUUUGUGAAUAUAUUGAAUGUUGGUUUUCAGGGAACCCCCACAUUAAGUAGAAAGUAGAAUCGUAGUAUCGAUGAUAUGAGAAGGGAAGACGCCAAGGCAUUGCAACAAACUGGCACUAAACCAUAUUGGCAUUGAUGCAUGCACAAGAUAUGUGGACUUGAGCGGAACUAGUAUCGAAAGAGAUACCGAGUGGAGCUUUUGGAAACGCCCUUCAAUGGCUAAAGUUGAGGAGUUAAAAGCUGCAAAGCUCUAGAGUUCUUGAGCAUUCUCAGCUGGGGCAGAGUGUAGAGACCCUCUGUUUCUGGGAGAUUUUCGAACCACCUGCCAUUGAAGAUUCAAAAGUUUCAUAUCUUGCCAGCCAUCUAUCUCGAAGGCCAACUAAAGAAGGGUUGAAACUUGCCAAAGGGAAGGGCCUUUUCAGAAAGGAGAGGAAACAGCUUACACAGAUCACGACUGAUAUUUCCAGAGUCUUGUGAAUUGAGACGCAGAAGAUCUGGAUGAGUUUAUGAGCAAGGUUAUGCUUGAUACCGAUCUGUUGAACGAUGAAAUUUGCGACUAUGCCGCUUUGGGAAGCUGUUCAUUGAUGAUCAUAUUUUGGAGAACAUUAGCAGGUUGAUUUUGUAAAAGCAUUCCUCCAUUAUUUGGUGUUAUCCUGGCCAUUUAAUUUAUCACUCAAGAGGAGUCACUUUCAGAAGCUUCAACAAGCCUGUAGAGAUGGAGGGUUAUUUGGUAAGGGAAUUCUUGUUUGUUAAAAAUAACAGUUCGGAGAUACUUAAGUUAUUGUAGGAACAUGUAAAACAUUCUUUAGAAUUGCAUCAGUUAGAAUGUAUUAUUUUCCAGGCUCAGUUAGAGAGGCCAUGAACCUGUUGAAGCUAUGAAGGCAGAGUUCUGUAAUCUGUACAUGGUUCCUAUAAUACCAAACCUCUGCAGAAAGUUAUAUUUUCAACGAAGCGGGCAUCUGGAUCUA